UACAGAGGUCUCAAGCGUUGUUCGGAUUCAUUGGGCGUAAAGGGUGCGUAGGUGGCGCUGUAAGUCAGAUGUGAAAUUUCGGAGCUUAACUCCGAAACUGCAUUUGAUACUGCGGUGCUUGAGGACUGGAGAGGAGAUUGGAAUUCACGGUGUAGCAGUGAAAUGCGUAGAUAUCGUGAGGAAGACCAGUGGCGAAGGCGGAUCUCUGGACAGUUCCUGACACUGAGG
rnacentral:rRNA from 1 species